GAUACAGUCUGGAGCAGGUUUCUGAAACUAAAGCCCCUUUUCUGCAUUACAAAGGCCUAUUAAUGGUAUCCAACCAAGCCUACAGCAGCAGCAGGACACUUAAAAGAAGUCUUCUAAACCUGGAGGAGAAUUAUUCCGCUCACAAAAAAGCGCAAGAGGAAUAUAAACAGAGCAGUACAUGUUAUAUAAAACUGCGGGAAGAAAAGAGCAUCUUAGACCAACAUAGCUACCAAAUACAUCCCUGAAACAUGGAAGAUGCUGAAUUUUAGCCGAUUUUGGAUUAUAAACUUCAUUGCUGAACAACAAGGACAUUUUUCUACACCUCCCUGCCUGCCAUCUGACACCACCAGGGAAGAAAUCGUGCUUGAUCUACACAACAAAGAGCAAUCUCACAAAGACACUCUCAUGGACCCAGAGGGACAGAUUUCCAGCUUCUGCUUCCUCUGUGCAAAAAUGAAGUUUAUUUCCUACAUAUGGGGACUUUUUACCUUCUUGAACUUUCCCUGCACCUGAUGAAGGGCGUGUGAGCCUGAAAGCUGGCAGAAAAAGAUGUGUAAUGUGUGAGCACAAUAAGAUCACAGGAAUCUAAAUUGGGACUCUCUUUCUUCCUGAAGAAGGGUAUGUGUACCUGAAAGCUUGCAAAGAACAAAUUUUCCAACUAUUUAGUUGGUCUAAUAAAAGAUAUCACAUCUACCCAAAGAACCUUGUCUUCCAGGAAUCUAAACACACCCAGGGAAAUCCUAAAGCAGUAUUGUGGACAUGAAAUGGUGGGGCAUGCCUAUCCCAUCGUUAUCAAAAUUAAGAAAUUAAGGUUGUG